CAGCUGCGGCUCCAUGUCCGACAUGACACGAGGCCGCGGGUCCGGGUCCCGGUCCCUGCCCCUACCCCUACCGCCGCGCGCCGCCGCCCGGGCCUGGUGCGGCAGCAGCGCCCGCCCCUCGCGCCGGUUUGUUAUCAUCUCAGUAGUGUGAUCCUGAGGCAGCCCUACACUGUCAUGACACCUCCAGUAAAAAGAUGAACCUCUAGUUCCCUAUGAGUGCAAGAACCACUAAACUUGGGCAGUUCUCAACCAUAUCACUCCACAGUCAUCUGCCCUCAUGGAUACUCUGUACACACUUAUGUACUUGCUCAGCUUUACCCAGCUGCCACAAAAUGUCCACCAGCAUAUUGCAGAAUUCAGGAAACUUGCUGCAGGAUUAACAUCCGCAAUGAUACAGAGCACGUGAGGCUAUGCAAAUAACAAUAUCCAUAUAACCAGAGAUGCAAAAAAAUACAGUAUUUGGUUUAGUAGUUUAACUCAGGCUUGUCUAUAUUGUAGCAGUGAUGGAUCCCAGUGUUGGACGACCUGAGCACACCUUGCUUAUGACCUGCCCCCUUUAGUCCACAAGCUCUAGAGAUAGAAGUGUCUGACAGUGGCUGCUCUGGACUCUUCUUCACCACCUUUUUCCAGCACCUCAGUUUUCAGCCCCUGAGCUGAGACCAGAUGUUGAGAACAAGCCUGGAGCACACUCACUAGGGAAUAUCCAGGCCUGGAGCAAGUCUGCAGGCUCAGAUG